rnacentral:rRNA from 1 species
ACCUGGGACUGUUGUAUAUACAUGCAAGUCGAGCGGACAGAUGCAGAGCUUGCUCCCUGAUGUUAGCGGCGGACGGGUGAGUAACACGUGGGUAACCUGCCUGUAAGACUGGGAUAACUCCGGGAAACCGGGGCUAAUACCGGAUGGUUGUUUGAACCGCAUGGUUCAAACAUAAAAGGUGGCUUCGGCUACCACUUACAGAUGGACCCGCGGCGCAUUAGCUAGUUGGUGAGGUAACGGCUCACCAAGGCAACGAUGCGUAGCCGACCUGAGAGGGUGAUCGGCCACACUGGGACUGAGACACGGCCCAGACUCCUACGGGAGGCAGCAGUAGGGAAUCUUCCGCAAUGGACGAAAGUCUGACGGAGCAACGCCGCGUGAGUGAUGAAGGUUUUCGGAUCGUAAAGCUCUGUUGUUAGGGAAGAACAAGUACCGUUCGAAUAGGGCGGUACCUUGACGGUACCUAACCAGAAAGCCACGGCUAACUACGUGCCAGCAGCCGCGGUAAUACGUAGGUGGCAAGCGUUGUCCGGAAUUAUUGGGCGUAAAGGGCUCGCAGGCGGUUUCUUAAGUCUGAUGUGAAAGCCCCCGGCUCAACCGGGGAGGGUCAUUGGAAACUGGGGAACUUGAGUGCAGAAGAGGAGAGUGGAAUUCCACGUGUAGCGGUGAAAUGCGUAGAGAUGUGGAGGAACACCAGUGGCGAAGGCGACUCUCUGGUCUGUAACUGACGCUGAGGAGCGAAAGCGUGGGGAGCGAACAGGAUUAGAUACCCUGGUAGUCCACGCCGUAAACGAUGAGUGCUAAGUGUUAGGGGGGUUUCCGCCCCUUACUGCUGCAGCUAACGCAUUAAGCACUCCGCCCUGGCGGAGUACGGUCGCGAGGACUGAAACUCAAAAGAAUUUGACAGGGGGCCGGCACACGCUGUGGAGCAUGUGGUUGCAAUUCAAAUCAACGCCAAGAACAUAACACGGUCGUGGACAUGCAUCUGACUAUCGAGUAG